GACGAACGCUGGCGGCGUGCUUAACACAUGCAAGUCGAACGGAAAGGCCCUGCUUUUGUGGGGUGCUCGAGUGGCGAACGGGUGAGUAACACGUGAGUAACCUGCCCUUGACUUUGGGAUAACUUCAGGAAACUGGGGCUAAUACCGGAUAGGAGCUCCUGCUGCAUGGUGGGGGUUGGAAAGUUUCGGCGGUUGGGGAUGGACUCGCGGCUUAUCAGCUUGUUGGUGGGGUAGUGGCUUACCAAGGCUUUGACGGGUAGCCGGCCUGAGAGGGUGACCGGCCACAUUGGGACUGAGAUACGGCCCAGACUCCUACGGGAGGCAGCAGUGGGGAAUAUUGCACAAUGGGCGGAAGCCUGAGGCAGCAACGCCGCGUGCGGGAUGACGGCCUUCGGGUUGUAAACCGCUUUCGCCUGUGACGAAGCGUGAGUGACGGUAAUGGGUAAAGAAGCAACGGCUAACUACGUG
rnacentral:rRNA from 1 species